UACGAAGGGGGCGGGCGUUGUUCGGAUUUACUGGGCGUAAAGGGCGCGCAGGCGGCUUUGUUUGUCAGGCGUGAAAGCCCCGGGCUUAACCUGGGAACUGCGUUUGAUACGGCAGGGCUAGAGUUCGGGAGAGGAGAGUGGAAUUCCCAGUGUAGAGGUGAAAUUCGUAGAUAUUGGGAAGAACACCGGUGGCGAAGGCGGCUCUCUGGACCGAUACUGACGCUGAGGCGCGAAAGCGUGGGGAGCAAACAGG
rnacentral:rRNA from 1 species